UGCAUGUUUGCAGCACUUACACCCAUGUUAUUUUAAUAUAAUUAUAAUAUAUACUUUCAAAUAAACGUUUAUCGCAUGACACAGUUCACAUUUUGUUAGCAAGUGCCCGGAAUUGUUGAAAGUUCUCUCACAGCAUUUGCUAAUAGUAGUAACUUAAUGUUAGUUAUGACGAGAGUUUCGCUAUAAUUUUGAAUGUCAAUAUCACCGUUAAGACAAAUCUGGUAUUUGUAAAGUUUAUAAAACCAGUAAUGGGACAAACUUUACUAUUUAUGUGUGCACAUUUCUGUAAUUAGUCAAGGUUAUCAUAGAUUAGCAGGGCUAACCGUUAGCUGUUUAACUUUAAUAACUUAGUGAUUCAAACGGUCCAUGAAUUAUUAUUUUUUUCCAGCAGAUAUCCUAGUUACAACAUGACUGAGCUAACUUGAGAGCCAUCCAAAAUCAUUUGGCGACAUUGGCAAGCACGGUGAUACUGCUGGAGACGGAUGUCACUCUCUUCUGCAACAAGUAAAAACGAGAGUGGAGUACAAAAAUAGGAAUAAAACUCUUGCUCAACGCCGCAGAGAAAGAAGACCGCUCACUGGAAUGGCAGGAGAGGCCAGACUGGCAAGAGGUCCUGUUGACCAAUACGGGUGUGUCAGGUGGGGCCCAGCAGAUUUGCCAGAGGGGGAGACCGAGGCAACGUUGGAGAAUAUAAAGAGGGAUCUGCUGAACAUCUACUAAGGCAUGCCAUCUACUGUCUUUUGGGGUAAUUUUGUUUAGAAUUUAGUAAUUGGUCAAAAUCUGAACACUGUGUGUGUUGGGCGGCUACAAGACCAAAUUGUUACUUGGGUACUAACAAUACAUUUGUAUGUCUGUAUACACAGAGGAAGGAAUGAGUGGGGCAGAGAGAGCAGAGCCAAUGAUGGAAAAGACAUACGUCAUCCUGCGGAAAUACCUUAACAAAGUGCCUGCUGCAGCGAUGUCUGAGAUCAAACAGGAAUGGCCAUUUCUCUUCUCUCAGAAAUGCCUAUUCUCGCACUUUGGCCUCCUGACGGACGUCGAUGUCCUUCAGAAGCUACAGGAGGCAAUUAGUCGACGAGGACAGACCAUCCCGGAUUACUGUGCAACACUGGACAACCCCAAGAUCCGUGAUGUUCUGGCCUGCUAUGAUCCAGACUCUGACAAGGCUGCCUGCAUUCUGCUGCUCCUAAUGUCGUACUUCAAAGAGCCGAAAGAGAGUUUGAUUCUUGAAGUUGAUGUAAGAUUUUUUAUUCAAAUAUUUAAAAUGCAAAAUGAGUGAUUACAUUAUCAACAUUUACCUUGCAUGAUUUACUACCUCUGACCAAUGAACAAUAUUUAUCCUUUAUCCUAAAUCCAUGCUAUUGUGUGUUAACUAUGUUACAGCCAUGUGCCACUGCUGUGGACGUCAAUACUGCAGAACUCCCCGGAACCCCCUGCUUGAUCAUUCAAGGUGACAUGAUGAAGCCCUCUGGAUGGCUUAUAUCCAUCGUGGGACAUGUCGUGAUGGGCCCACACUCUUUAUUUUUACAUGGAAUAGCUGCUUUCUUCAGCAGCUAUUGCGUAUUCAACCUUGAGUAUCCUACCGCUGGAUCUUCGACGCUGGGGUUCAUUCAAAGAUGCUUCCUGGGCAUCAAUCCUGAAAGAGGCUCAAAGACCAAGAAGCGGACAACAAUGAACCCUCAUGUGAGCACCCUUUUGAGGAAACUUAUUGACUCUGAGUGGGCAUCAUAGUUUUUUUUUUUUUGCAGCAGUAGUUGUCAGGCUCAGUUUUGAGUAGCCUUGUUCUUUUUGUAA